rnacentral:rRNA from 1 species
AGAGUUUGAUUCUGGCUCAGAACGAACGCUGGCGGCGUGGAUAAGACAUGCAAGUCGAACGAGAGAAUUGCUAGCUUGCUAAUAAUUCUCUAGUGGCGCACGGGUGAGUAACACGUGAGUAACCUGCCCCCGAGAGCGGGAUAGCCCUGGGAAACUGGGAUUAAUACCGCAUAGUAUCGAAAGAUUAAAGCAGCAAUGCGCUUGGGGAUGGGCUCGCGGCCUAUUAGUUAGUUGGUGAGGUAACGGCUCACCAAGGCGAUGACGGGUAGCCGGUCUGAGAGGAUGUCCGGCCACACUGGAACUGAGACACGGUCCAGACACCUACGGGUGGCAGCAGUCGAGAAUCAUUCACAAUGGGGGAAACCCUGAUGGUGUGACGCCGCGUGGGGGAAUGAAGGUCUUCGGAUUGUAAACCCCUGUCAUGUGGGAGCAAAUUAAAAAGAUAGUACCACAAGAGGAAGAGACGGCUAACUCUGUGCCAGCAGCCGCGGUAAUACAGAGGUCUCAAGCGUUGUUCGGAAUCACUGGGCGUAAAGCGUGCGUAGGCUGUUUCGUAAGUCGUGUGUGAAAGGCGCGGGCUCAACCCGCGGACGGCACAUGAUACUGCGAGACUAGAGUAAUGGAGGGGGAACCGGAAUUCUCGGUGUAGCAGUGAAAUGCGUAGAUAUCGAGAGGAACACUCGUGGCGAAGGCGGGUUCCUGGACAUUAACUGACGCUGAGGCACGAAGGCCAGGGGAGCGAAAGGGAUUAGAUACCCCUGUAGUCCUGGCAGUAAACGGUGCACGCUUGGUGUGCGGGGAAUCGACCCCCUGCGUGCCGGAGCUAACGCGUUAAGCGUGCCGCCUGGGGAGUACGGUCGCAAGAUUAAAACUCAAAGAAAUUGACGGGGACCCGCACAAGCGGUGGA